CCUACGGGAGGCAGCAGUGAGGAAUAUUGGUCAAUGGGCUUACGCCUGAACCAGCCAAGUCGCGUGAGGGAAGACUGCCCUAUGGGUUGUAAACCUCUUUUGUCAGGGAGCAAUUGGCGCUACGUGUAGCGUUAUCGAGAGUACCUGAAGAAAAAGCAUCGGCUAACUCCGUGCCAGCAGCCGCGGUAAUACGGAGGAUGCGAGCGUUAUCCGGAUUUAUUGGGUUUAAAGGGUGCGUAGGCGGAAUGCCAAGUCAGCGGUAAAAUCGCGGGGCUCAACCUCGCUCCGCCGUUGAAACUGGCGUGCUUGAGUGGGCGAGAAGUAUGAGGAAUGCGUGGUGUAGCGGUGAAAUGCAUAGAUAUCACGCAGAACUCCGAUUGCGAAGGCAGCAUACCAGCGCCCAACUGACGCUGAAGCACGAAAGCGUGGGUAUCGAACAGGAUUAGAUACCCUUGUAGUC
rnacentral:rRNA from 1 species